rnacentral:rRNA from 1 species
CGGCUCACCAAGGCCACGAUGCAUAGCCGACCUGAGAGGGUGAUCGGCCACAUUGGGACUGAGACACGGCCCAAACUCCUACGGGAGGCAGCAGUAGGGAAUCUUCGGCAAUGGACGAAAGUCUGACCGAGCAACGCCGCGUGAGUGAAGAAGGUUUUCGGAUCGUAAAACUCUGUUGUUAGAGAAGAACAAGGGUGAGAGUAACUGUUCACCCCUUGACGGUAUCUAACCAGAAAUCCACGGCUAACUACGUGCCAGCAGCCGCGGUAAUAAGUAGGUGGCAAGCGUUGUCCGGAUUUAUUGGGCGUAAAGCGAGCGCAGGCGGUUUGUUAAGUCUGAUGUGAAAGCCCCCGGCUCAACCGGGGAGGGUCAUUGGAAACUGGGAGACUGAGUGCAGAAGAGGAGAGUGGAAUUCCAUGUGUAGCGGUGAAAUGCGUAGAUAUAUGGAGGAACACCAGUGGCGAAGGCGGCUUUCUGGUCUGUAAUUGACGUGAGGCUCGAAAGCGUGGGGAGCAAACAGGAUUAGAUACCCUGGUAGUCCACGCCGUAAACGAUGAGUGUUAAGUGUUGGAGGGUUUCCGCCCUUCAGUGCUGCAAGCUAACGCCAU